rnacentral:rRNA from 1 species
UACGGGGGGGGCAAGCGUUGUUCGGAAUUACUGGGCGUAAAGGGCGCGUAGGCGGCCUGCUAAGUCGGAUGUGAAAUCCCUCGGCUCAACCGAGGAACUGCAUCCGAUACUGGCGGGCUUGAAUCCGGGAGAGGGAUGUGGAAUUCCAGGUGUAGCGGUGAAAUGCGUAGAUAUCUGGAGGAACACCGGUGGCGAAGGCGGCAUCCUGGACCGGUAUUGACGCUGAGGCGCGAAAGCUAGGGGAGCAAACGAG